CUAUAGCCUCCACUCUCAAGCUAGUCUACACUAAGUCUCUAACAAUUCAUCAAAAUUACCACUAAAGUGUUCCUACAGGUUUGUGGCUUCAGCAUUUUCUGUUCCAGAUAUUCCCAGGAGUGUUGGAAGGAGAAUGUGCCAGCUAAAAAUAUCCCAUGAAUCUGAGGGAGAAAUUCAUAAAACUGUAUGGAUCAUGA